GAUGAACGCUGGCGGCGUGCCUAAUACAUGCAAGUCGAGCGAACAGAUGAGGAGCUUGCUCCUCUGACGUUAGCGGCGGACGGGUGAGUAACACGUGGAUAACCUACCUAUAAGACUGGGAUAACUUCGGGAAACCGGAGCUAAUACCGGAUAAUAUAUUGAACCGCAUGGUUCAAUAGUGAAAGACGGUUUUGCUGUCACUUAUAGAUGGAUCCGCGCCGCAUUAGCUAGUUGGUAAGGUAACGGCGUACCAAGGCAACGAUGCGUAGCCGACCUGAGAGGAUGAUCGGCCACACUGGAACUGAGACACGGUCCAGACUCCUACGGGAGGCAGCAGUAGGGAAUCUUCCGCAAUGGGCGAAAGCCUGACGGAGCAACGCCGCGUGAGUGAUGAAGGUCUUCGGAUCUUAAAACUCUGUUAUUAGGGAAGAACAAAUGUGUAAGUAACUAUGCACGUCUUGACGGUACCUAAUCAGAAAGCCACGGCUAACUACGUG
rnacentral:rRNA from 1 species